GCCCUAACCCUAACCCUAGCCCUAGCCCUAACCCUAACUCUAACCCUAACCCUAGCUCUAACCCUAAUCCUAGCACUACCUCUAACCCUAGCCCUAACCCUAACCCUAGCUCAGACAGAGACACGAGCUGCACAGGCAACGGUUAAGGCCAGGCAGGCCGGGUCCCAAGGAAGGAAGAAGGAAGGUAGAACGGGGCAGAAGGACCAGGGAGGCAGGAAGGAUGCACAGCCAGGAUGGUGCCUCUCGGUCGGACAAGGACUGGGGCUUGGUCCCCGGUGCGAAGGCAGUAGGCAGAAGGGAGAAGGAAGAAGGAAGAAGGAAGAAGGAAGAAGGAAGAAGGAAGAAGGAAGAAUGAAGAGAGAUCCAGGACAGACAGACCAGGGAGGCAAGAACGAUGCACAGCUGGGAUGGUGCCUCUCAGUCGGAUGCGGACUCGGGCUUGGUCCCCGGCGAGAAGGGAGAAGGAAGGAGGAAGGAGGAAGGGAGAACUGGGGCAGACAAACGGGGAGGAUGUGCAAAGUCAGUAUCGUGAGGAGUAUCCUGCCCAAGCAGGCUGAUCCAUCUUUGCACUGGAAUGCCCACUAGCAGCAACUUGUCUGGUGUCUGGGUAUCCUUUGGGCCCU
rnacentral:lncRNA from 1 species